AAAAAGACAAACCCUGGAUUUCCGUGACAACGUUUGACUGUCCGUCUUAUAUGAAAAUUUUUUAUAAUUAGUAUUUUCAUUGUUGUUAGAUGAUAAUUUUUUAGUUCUUUUCAUAAUUUUUUUAAAUAAGAUGGACGGUCAAACGUUGGACACGGAAACCAGAGUUUGUCUUUUUU
rfam:Oryza barthii chromosome 12, whole genome shotgun sequence.